UGGACUCCCACAGUCCACUGAUGCAGAGCCCCGGCUGGACCAUGUGGUGCUGAGGGGCGUGUUCCCACUCCAGCAAAACAAAUAUAUCCCUAACCAGAGAAGCACACACCGACCAAAGACACCAGACUGUCACCAACAAGCCGGGAUCGAUUAAUGGACCGGAGGCAGCCCGCAGCAGGUCGAACCUGUCGGUUCCGUGGAUAGCCGACGUCUCGUCACGGCGCAGUCAGGACAGAGAGCCGUCACGCGUCAUGCGCCCGAACCUUUGCAUGUUGAUAAUUUGUGCUACACUAAUAAAACAAAUUACAAAAACAAAACACUGAAUCCAUACUGCAUCACCUUGAUCCCGCAUGCUGUCUGAGUGCAGCGCAGUUGGUCGCAGCAUCACGGCUGUACCUCCACCUCACCGACCCGGCUGCACCUCUCCAUCCUCCCUCCCUCCCUCCCUCCCUCCACGGCUGCUGGGGGCGGGCAGAACAUGGCAGAGAAAUUUAAAGCUGCCAAAGUACAGCCGGACAGAAAUAACAGCGCAUCUGUCCUGCGGGUGACGCAUUAAUCCGAUAACUGUGCGUCACUGAUAGGCAGCAUCGAUCAAUAUAUCAAUAAACUAUGAUUACUUACUUUGGAUAUAACUUCUAUACCAGGGUGAGCUAGUGUAUUUAAACGAGCACUUUUGAUCAACAAUCUGCAACAUAAAACAAAAUCUGUUGUAUUCCUGUAUGUUGGUUGGCAACAUAUUGAUCAUCGUUAUGUUUAAAUCACAAGGGCAACUUAUGUUGUUGGGGGUUGUUGUUCAGAUGCCCCAAAUGGCAAUUUAAUACUUAAGCGCUGAUAAUCUAUAAAACUAAUGUGCAAACAUUCGUCAAGUUUAAUUCAAACUGUUUAAAAUAUAAAUGUACCUAUAAAUAAACAGAGGGAGUGGAGGCAAAAAUUGCAUUUAUAUAAGUUAAUUAUCAAUAUUAUGUAGAAAUAUCUCUGCACAUGCAUGUUGAUAAAUUGGAGUAGGAUCAGGAUUUUUUUAUUACUAGCGCACCAUAUGGAUGUAUUCAGAUUGUAAUAAGCAUGUAAUGAUUUCAGUUUUCUAUUUUUUUAUAUUCUCCAGCUAGAAUACUUUAGUUAUAUUACAUUUUGCCUGCAAUCCAAUGCACACAAUAUUUUAAUGAAACAAAGUGCCUGUUUUUUGUGGAAAAUGGAUCUGUAAAUUAUUCUCCAAAAAACAAAAACAAAAGGGAAAGGGUUUAAUUUUAACUUAUUAAAUGCCUCACCUCAUCAAAACUUGAACCAAAACAACUUUUACAUUUUUAUUUUUUAUUUUUUUGCAUCAAAAAAUUUUAUGCUUAUUGGACAGCCAUGCUUUAAAUGCUCUGAGGAAUCAAAGAUAAUCUGGAGAAAUCUAGAAUGUUAAAACAAGAUUUUAAUAUCAUAGACAGAUUUUAAUUGUCAGGCUAGGCAUAUUUUAAAAUGCUUCAUGUUUACUGUCUAAAACUGAGGACAAUAUAUUUAAUAAUUAAUUACAUUUUAAUAAUUAAUUUAAUUAAUAAUGUAUUUGAAUUAUUAUUAUUAUUAUUAUUAUUACUUUUAAUAGUGUGUUUUAUUUCAAAACCUUGAGUCAUUUUCAAUAGUGGUAAGGCAGUUUAAACAAAAUCAAAAAAUUCAAUACAGUUCUACAGAAAGCACAACUUUUAUUCUUCUGUAUACAUAUACUGUAUGUACAUAAAGAAAAUAACGUUGAGCUGUACAAAUUACACUUUUUAUUCCUCAGCAUUUGGACAAUGCAGUUUACACAUUUCAUGCCAAAGUUUAUGGAAAACAUAUAAUUUUUCUUAAUUGUUUUUGUAGG